AACGAACGCUGGCGGCAUGCCUAACACAUGCAAGUCGAACGAGACCUUCGGGUCUAGUGGCGCACGGGUGCGUAACGCGUGGGAACCUGCCCUUAGGUUCGGAAUAACUCCCCGAAAGGGGUGCUAAUACCGGAUAAUGUCUUCGGACCAAAGAUUUAUCGCCUUUGGAUGGGCCCGCGUUGGAUUAGCUAGUUGGUAGGGUAAAAGCCUACCAAGGCGACGAUCCAUAGCUGGUCUGAGAGGAUGAUCAGCCACACUGGGACUGAGACACGGCCCAGACUCCUACGGGAGGCAGCAGUGGGGAAUAUUGGACCAUGGGCGAAAGCCUGAUCCAGCAAUGCCGCGUGAGUGAUGAAGGCCUUAGGGUUGCAAAGCUCUUUUACCCGGGAUGAUAAUGACAGUACCGGGAGAAUAAGCUCCGGCUAACUCCGUG
rnacentral:rRNA from 1 species